rnacentral:rRNA from 1 species
AACGAACGCUGGCGGCAGGCUUAACACAUGCAAGUCGAGCGCCCCGCAAGGGGAGCGGCAGACGGGUGAGUAACGCGUGGGAAUCUACCCAUCUCUACGGAAUAACCCAGGGAAACUUGGACUAAUACCGUAUACGUCCUUCGGGAGAAAGAUUUAUCGGAGAUGGAUGAGCCCGCGUUGGAUUAGCUAGUUGGCGGGGUAAUGGCCCACCAAGGCGACGAUCAGUAACUGGUCUGAGAGGACGAUCAGUCACACCGGAACUGAGACACGGUCCGGACUCCUACGGGAGGCAGCAGUGGGGAAUAUUGGACAAUGGGCGAAAGCCUGAUCCAGCAAUGCCGCGUGUGUGAAGAAGGCCUUCGGGUUGUAAAGCACUUUAGUCAGGGAAGAAAAAGCUCAAACUAAUAUUUUGAGUGUUGACGGUACCUGAAGAAUAAGCACCGGCUAACUCUGUGCCAGCAGCCGCGGUAAUACAGAGGGUGCAAGCGUUAAUCGGAUUUACUGGGCGUAAAGCGUGUGUAGGUGGUUGUUCAAGUCGGUUGUGAAAUCCCCGGGCUCAACCUGGGAAUUGCUUCCGAGACUGAGCGACUAGAGUACGGUAGAGGGCGGUGGAAUUUCCGGUGUAGCGGUGAAAUGCGUAGAUAUCGGAAGGAACACCAAUGGCGAAGGCAGCCGCCUGGGCCGGUACUGACACUGAGACACGAAAGCGUGGGGAUCAAACAGGAUUAGAUACCCUGGUAGUCCACGCCGUAAACGAUGAGAACUUGACGUCGGCAUGCUCUGCGUGUCGGUGUCGCAGCUAACGCGAUAAGUUCUCCGCCUGGGGAGUACGGCCGCAAGGUUGAAACUCAAAGGAAUUGACGGGGGCCCGCACAAGCGGUGGAGUAUGUGGUUUAAUUCGAUGCAACGCGAGACCUUACCUGGCCUUGACAUGCUAGGAAUCCUGUAGAGAUAUGGGAGUGCCCGCAGGGAACCUAGACCCAGUC